rnacentral:rRNA from 1 species
GACGAACGCUGGCGGCGUGCCUAAUACAUGCAAGUCGAGCGGACAGAAGGGAGCUUGCUCCCGGAAGUUAGCGGCGGACGGGUGAGUAACACGUGGGCAACCUACCCUGUAGAUCGGGAUAACAUCGAGAAAUCGGUGCUAAUACCGGAUAAUCAUUUGAAGUGCAUGCUUCGAAUGUAAAAGAUGGCUCCGGCUAUCACUACGGGAUGGGCCCGCGGCGCAUUAGCUAGUUGGUAAGGUAAUGGCUUACCAAGGCAACGAUGCGUAGCCGACCUGAGAGGGUGAUCGGCCACACUGGGACUGAGACACGGCCAAGACUCCUACGGGAGGCAGCAGUAGGGAAUCUUCCGAAAUGGACGAAAGUCUGACGGAGCAACGCCGCGUGAGUGAUGAAGGUUUUCGGAUCGUAAAGCUCUGUUGUUAGGGAAGAACAAGUGCCGUUUGAAUAAGGCGGCACCUUGACGGUACCUAACCAGAAAGCCACGGCUAACUACGUGCCAGCAGCCGCAGUAACAC